AAACUUAAAGGAAUUGACGGGGACCCGCACAAGCGGUGGAUGAUGUGGUUUAAUUCGAUGCAACGCGAAAAACCUUACCCACCUUUGACAUGUACGGAAUCCUGCAGAGACGCAGGAGUGCUCGAAAGAGAGCCGUAACACAGGUGCUGCAUGGCUGUCGUCAGCUCGUGUCGUGAGAUGUUGGGUUAAGUCCCGCAACGAGCGCAACCCUUGCCAUUAGUUGCUACGAAAGGGCACUCUAAUGGGACUGCCGGUGACAAACCGGAGGAAGGUGGGGAUGACGUCAAGUCCUCAUGGCCCUUAUAGGUGGGGCUACACACGUCAUACAAUGGCUGGUACAAAGGGUUGCCAACCCGCGAGGGGAGCCAAUCCCACAAAGCCAGUCGUAGUCCGGAUCGCAGUCUGCAACUCGACUGCGUGAAGUCGGAAUCGCUAGUAAUCGUGGAUCAGCAUGUCACGGUGAAUACGUUCCCGGGUCUUGUACACACCGCCCGUCACACCAUGGGAGCGGGUUCUGCCAGAAGUAGUUAGCCUAACCGCAAGGAGGGCGAUUACCACGGCAGGGUUCGUGACUGGGGUGAAGUCGUAACAAGGUAGCCGUAUCGGAAGGUGCGGCUGGAUCACCUCCUUUAUG
rnacentral:rRNA from 1 species